AUUUCAGGCAACCAGGCUGAAAGAAGCUAUAUCAUCUUUUAUAUGGUUCUCGGAUUGAAAACAUCAAGUACCACAGAAACCAGAAAGAUAGCUCUGAGGACUGAGCAGACAACCCUUUCCCGGUUUCUUCUUCCAUCUCAUUAGCACUGGUGAACUCCGAUGAACAUCGGAAAUAUUGUAUUAUGGAGACACACCUCAGUUGGUAAAGUGUUUGUCAUGUAUAUGUGAGGAUAUUGGUUUGGAUCCCACCACCCUCAUAAAAAGCUGAGUGUCACAGGGCUCAGAGCUGGAAAGACCGUGACGUGACUGGAAGAUCUUUUGCUCAGGCUUACUGGCCAUCGAAUCUAGACAAUUGUUGAGCCCCAGGUUUAG
rnacentral:lncRNA from 1 species